rnacentral:tRNA from 1 species
AGUCGCGUAGCUCAGCUGGUUAGAGCACUACCUUGACAUGGUAGGGGUCGGUGGUUCGAGUCCACUCGCGACUACCA